GUCGAGAAUCUUCCGCAAUGCGCGAAAGCGUGACGGAGCGACACCGCGUGAUGGAUGAAGUCCUUCGGGGCGUAAACAUCUUUUAUAAAGGAGGAAAUUUUUGACGUUACUUUAUGAAUAAGGGGCUCCCAAUCUCGUGCCAGCAGGAGCGGUAAUACGAGAGCCUCAAGCGUUAUCCGGAAUCAUUGGGCGUAAAGGGUGCGUAGGUGGUUUGAUUAGUCUCCCGUUAAAACUUCGAGCUUAACUCGAAAAGAGCGGGGGAAACGGUCAAACUAGAGUAUGUGAGAGGUGUGUGGAACUCAUGGUGUAGGGGUGAAAUCUGUUGAUAUCAUGGGGAACACCAAAAGCGAAGGCAGCACACUGGCACAUCACUGACACUGAGGCACGAAACCUAAGGUAGCGAAUGGGAUUAGAUACCCUGGUAGUCC
rnacentral:rRNA from 1 species